rnacentral:lncRNA from 1 species
UUAUUAGGGUUUCAAUAUUUAUUCUCUUUCAUUUCCCAAAACUCCUAGCCGUCAUAUCACAUGAACAGUUCAUCUUCAUCACUGACAUUGCAUCUCCAUGUUCUCAUUUUGAAACCCAACAAAGUAAGCACAUGUUCUCGUUCAAUCGAACACUCAGAACAUUCCUGUUUUAAAGGUGAGUCAUCAUGUUCUCUCUUCUUCAAGUCUGGAUUCGAUCUGGGCGUCAAAGAAAACUAAAAAAACAAAGAAUCCGGCUAGACCGCCGGAUCGAACCACCGGUCCAACCACACAACAGUUGCCGACCGCCCGGUUUGUUGAGAAACGAACGAACUGCCUAUAACCGGACCGUUCCAUUCACCGAAUCCUGGUCCGACCGGUUGAACCGGCCGGCCUGAUCCGGUCGUGAAAACCUUACUAUUAACAGACCAUCUUUAGGUGAACUUGAAUGUUAGAAACUCAACGGGUGAAAAUAAAAUAUUAUAUUUCUACUUAUAUUUUUAUAUCAUACAUUAAAUGCGUAGACCAAUUGAAAACAUAUUAUAUUUGACCAAACUCAUUAAAGAAUGAAAAUACCGUGGGGGGAGCUUGAAAUGUUAGAAAAUCAAAGAGGUGAAAAUGACAUUUUAUAAAGUCCAUAGAAAUGUACGGUUGAUCAAUAUUAAAUUUCAAAGUUAAGUGGUUGUUUUAAAAAGGUAAUGUAUAAACAUUACAAAAGAAAAGCUUAGGGGUGAAAUUGUAAAAGCAAAAAAAAAAAAAAACAAGGGGUGAAAGUAUAAAAGCAAAAAAAAGGAGGGAUGUGAAACUUAAUAAGCACCGGCAUUCAUAUUUAAAAUCUAUAUAAUCUAUAAUAAGAGAUUAGCCGCUGAUGUAAGUUUACAUACGUGUCAACUAACUAGAUAUGCCACGUAGGUUUUGCUGAUGUCAUAAAUAACAACUUUAUUUAACAUUAAUAAUACAUAAAUAAAAUUUUCAAAAUUCAAAUCAUAAUUUGAAUCAUUGGCUCUCUUAAAUCCCUAAAUCCCAUUUCAAAUUUCAAACCUACAGCCCUUUCCAUUUCAAAUUUCAAACCCUGGUUUCUCUCUCUGUUUGCUUUCUCUUUCUUCUUUGUGAGACCAACAACAAGAAAUUGAAGCUUUCGGGAAUCAAUCCAAGCCUUCAGUCUUUUCUUAUCGAGCUAAGACAACACAACAAACACACUUGAGCCGUUUUCAGUUUGUUGUUCUUCUCUCAUCGUCUUACAGUCUAGGGUUUUGCUUUGUUCAUCCUCUUUGAUGAACGAAAUGUGGAUUUUGUUGCUGAUUAUUGUGUAAUAUACAUCAUGUUUGCUGAGUCAUUGUUGUUCGGAUUAGAUCUGUUUUGCACUUUAGGGUUUUUUAGAGAGAGAGAGAGAGAUGACGGGGAUGGUGAUGCUAACAAGAGGAGGAGGAGGCGGUGGUGAAAAUGCAGCUAAGGAAGAACAGAACCAUCCUUCAAAUCCCUUUUUAGAUCUGAUACAGAACCCUAAUGUAUUCUUAAGUAUUCUUUCCAUCUAGGGUUUCAAGAUCUGCAUUUAGGGUUGUGAUGAUGACGGUAGUCAUCAGUUCGGUUCCUACUACCUCCAUCAUCCGCUGAUUUCAUCUUCAUUGAUUUCAUCUUGAUUCUGCCUACCACUUUUUCAAUAUCAGGAAUCAUCAGAAACCCUCAUCUUUCUGUCUGCAACUCCCGCCGGAUUCUUCGUUUUACAGAACCUCAAAUGUCAAUCAGAUUUAGUAGGCUGCAAAUCUAGGUUGCAUAUGGGAAGAUUUGUUGGAUGACACUCGCCCCCUGAUAGUGCAGAAACAUUAACAAAUGCUGGAAGUAAAGAUCCCUUUUAUGGUGAUAAUUCGCCUUCUAUGGACACUUGAGUACCCGUAUGCUAAAAGAAGGUAUAUCAAGUCAUUUGAAACCUUAAUUUCGAAGCUAAGACAUCAAUUAAAGCUCAUCUGAGGAAACGUCAACAACCUGUUCGGGUCACAGAUGGUCAAGAAUAGAAGCUAUGGACAAAACUGACUCAAGACCAUUCUGGAAAAUAUUUUUUGUUUUUUAACAAAUAUUAAUAUUUCUCAUAAUGUUUGUGAUUUUACCAAAUCUCUGAUCGUUGGGAACAUUUACUAAUUUUCAAUCAAAAAAGUUGGGAACAUAUACUGAUCGUCUUCUUCAAGAGAUUACAGAUAUGGCCUCUACGCGUCCCAGUGGAUCUAUAUCCCACAACAAUAAACGGUCAUCAUCUUCUGAACAGAAUAUCUCACACAGAAGCGUCCAGAGGUCCGAAAAUGGUCAAAAAUGGUGGUGAAUUGUAACACCCCGAAAACGGGUUUGGAAAUCAAACCACGUUAAUAUUAAAAGACGGGUAAAGUACCGUUAGUGGUAAAAUUUACUCGGUGAAUAUUAAGAUUUCUAAACAAUUAAAUCUAAAUCUAAAGUUAAAUAAAAAGGGGUGAAGGAAUGUUUAUGAGGAAAUAAAGUUAUGAGAGGCCCGAGUUUACGGGACUUAGAAUGAAACGGGUUAUAACCCCGGAACCUACUAAGUUAACUAGGAAUAAUUAACCUAGUUAUUUAUGUGGGAUCAAGUGAAUGAAUAGAAAUCAAGAUUUUAAACCUCUUUAUAAAACUUCUAAAUAUGAGGGACUAAAAGUGGGCAAACUAGGAAAUGUUUUUAAUUAAAACAAUAAUAAAAAUCAAAACACACACACACAUGUGUGUGUGAGUUCGAUCGACCAGAAGCAAGAGCAGGGGUUCCAAAACCCUAGUUUAACAAAAUCAACAAAUUGAAGGUCAAAAUGAAGCUCGAAUUCACAACUAAACAUGAAUAAACGAUUACCAAGCCAAGGGGAUCGUAAGUUUGACGCUUGACAAGCUAGGUGGAGGUUUGGAAAGGAAGCGGGUCAAACUAAGCAAAUAAGAAGGAAAAGCGUACUUCGGAUGCGAGUUGAAGGACACUCGCAUCUGAAGAUGACGAGAGUUGAAUGAACUGUGGAUAUGACGGUGGAACGGUCCGAGGUAUGACAAGCUGAGCACACUCAUUGAGGACCUAAAUCGCGUGAUGAUCGCGAACAAAGUUCACGGCAAGAGAAGCCCGUUAGGGCAAGCAUUACCAGGUGGAGGUUUGGAAAGGAAGCGGGUCAAACGAAGCAAAUAAGAAGGAAAAGCAUACUUCGGAUGCGAGGUAAGUAAAACUUACACCCACUUGUAGUAUAUGUGUUUAUUUUAUAAGGAAUGAAUACAAUAAAGGAUUAGGUUCGAAUCAUGGGUUCCGACAUGCAACGAAAUGAGUCGGAACCAAUAAAAAUGUUUUAAACCAUGAUUAAUGGUGAAAGAGGCAAAAUGGUAAAUUAGUCACGAAUUGGUUAAGAGUUAGUGAGUUUUUCUUAAAGUUACCUUAUAGCGUAACUAGUAAUGGAAAAAUGAGUAAAAAUGGAAAUUUAGUCAAGUAUCGACUAAAGUAAAAUAAGUCUCAAAGGACACCCAUAGCGUAAGCCGAAUGGGUUAAAAUAUAAGAAAUUUGACAAAAAAAAAAGGGAUCUAGUGAGAAAAUCCGAAAUGGGUCAGAUGUGUGAUUGGUAAUUAAAACCCAUGUUUUGUUACAUAUGAAAAUGUUGGGUUAUGUAGGUCGAACGGGCCAAAUGGUGGGAAUAACGCCAUUUGACAACAUCAACUAAUAUGGUUGUCAAGUCAUGUGUUUACAGGGGGGGAAUAGUAGUUUGGGUAAUUGCGUUGCCAUAAGAAUAUCGGUAAUAAAAGCAAGGUGUCGAAACGGGUCACUAGGUUGACUCGAGCCAGGUACGUAUAAAUAAGAUUGUGGUUAAACAAACAUUUUUGGGUCAAAUUAGUAGCAAAUGCCCUUCAUCGUAAAUGAGGGGCUAAAGUUGAUUAAAAUGCCCUUGAUGGGUAAAUCGGGCAAACGACCUUUAAAGGUCGUUGGAAAUAAGUGUUUUGAUAGAUUAAAUCCUUAAGAUAAGUAUAAAAGGGAUGAUACGGAACCUUAGUGCAUAAAUACCCUUAACGGGUCAAAAUAGAAGUAAUAGCGAAACGGGUUGAAAAUGUGUAAUAACUCGUGAAUUGAACCUUGUACAAUAGGAAAUAAUCAUAAUAAUAUGUUUAUAAAAGAAACAAGGGCCACAAACAAGUUUGAUAGAUGAAACCGCGAACAGGUCAAAAAAUGUCGUAUUUGAACUUCAAGCCAAGAGCUUGAAGUCUAAAAUUUUGUGAAAUUAGAUGUUGAAUUUUAACUCCAUAUGAUGGAGAAUUAAAUUACGGACGCGUGGGAAAAAGAAUCGGGUAAAACGGAUCAAUAACGAAGAAGUUAUGGCCGUUUCCGUGAAAUCGGGUUGAGCUGGGUAUGUACAGCAACUGAUUAAGCAUCAGUCUGUGAAAAAGGGGGCCUAGCGUCACGCGACGCCCCUGUUCCGGAAAUAAAUUUGUUUUGUUGUUGUUUGACCCAUGUAACUUGUUCAUACUUAUUAUUUAACUAUCAAAACUAACUUUUAAGUUGGUUUUGAUCAUAGGUGAUUGCCAAGAGUGCCCGGAUGAAGAUCAAGCUCGAUGAGGAACCGAACACGAUAACAUACAAGCUUCCGCGCGACGUUUCGUCGUAUCUUUUAAACGACGAAUUCAAUUACAUUAAGUUGUAUAGUUUUGAAAUGUUGUAACAUGUUGGAAUGUUAGUAUGAAAAGUUUUUGUAAAGUCACAUUUUAGCAUUAAAAUGUGUAUAUAUUUAAUAAAAUCUUGAUUA